UUUAUUUAAUAGCUUUGUUUUUACUUAGGGGAACCACCGUGGACAAAGAAGAUACUUUAGAGUGAGCAUUGUGAGUUGGCACAAGAUAAAACUGGGAAGGUGACCCAGAUCCUAGCCCUGGCUGUCAGGCAGAGUGACCCUGGACCGGUCUGUAGCUCUUCCAUUGUAAAAGCAUUAAAACAACAGAAACAAUGCUGUGGGAUGAGUCUGACACCAAUCACACGACAGCACGUAAGCAUCCAGCAGAAACAGGCUCACUGUCUUGAACUACCUGGAUUUUAACCGAGAAGAGAAUGCAUCCUUAGGGCUAACAGAUGCUUUGGGCCCAACAUCAACCUCUGACACAAUUCAGAGAUUUAUGGAAAUAAGAUAUGAAAAAGAUACAUGAGACCCUCACAAUGAAAGUGUUACUGACAGCAUUCAGAACACAUUGGACUCCUAAUAGCAAAAUGGAAUGUUGAAAAAGUUUAGUUUUGUUGAAAGUUCAUGGAAGAAUGUAGUAGGUAUGCUUUAGGAUGUCUCUCAUCCACAGUACAUUUCCUUAGGAUCAUCCCUUACCAACAGACUCUCCUGAAGCCGAGGGCUUAGGUGACCACAUCUCUAUAGCCAUCACCCCCGCCACAGCUGAUGGAACCAGGGCGACGCCAGUGUCAGCUUGAUAGGGAAUACUGAACACAACCAGACCAAGAUGGUCUCUACGGAAACCAGAAAGCAAGGUCACAGAGGACGUGGGAUGCAAUUGUGUGUGGAAAGCCAAAGGCACGGCAAGCUGGAACUAGAGGGAAGGGGUGGACACAGCAGCGACAGCAAUAAUCGAGGCAGCUGACACUUAUGCUGUGUGUGCCAGCCACCUCUCUCUCUCAGGUCGCACAGCUGGGACGUGGCAGAGGCGGAAGGCAGCCCAAGUGACGCAGCUCUCAAGCUCGCUUACAAAAUCCCCACAAGCAUCCUUCUGCCUCACAGGAAGCCCAGGAGGCAGCUGGAGGGAGGAGGAUGGGAGGGACGUGCAGGAGAAGCAGACCACGAGACGCAGCGGGGCAGGGAGAACAUUGAGCAGCGGCCUCCUGCCUGAGAAGCCUGGCGUCCCAGCUCCAGUCCGCACGUGAGCUUGCUGUGCUUGGCGGGAGGUCUGCGUCCUACGCCACCCUCCCUCUCCUCCUCCGUGCCUUUGAGGAGAACGAGUUUCAGUGGAUUUCUGUUCCUUGACGUCAAAGAAUGCUUCUAGAAUGAAGAAGCAUCCACAAGGAUGGAGGGGUUGGGUGGACAUUUCUUAUACAGGGGUCAGGGCAGAGAGCAUUAUCUCAACGUCCUCUGGUUGGGAUGCUAUUUUUUCCACCUUAUAGGUUUAGAAAGACGAGCACCUGCAAUUCAUGAAGGGAACGUCUUCUCAAGGGAAACUCUGCAAGAGGAAACCAAGCUGCCGCGUGAGCUUGGAAUUACUUGGAAUACCCUUGGCUAAAUUACAGCUGCUGAAUCCAGUUUCUUAAGAUGUUGUCUUUUAGGACCUUUGCCCCAAUUUCCUUAAAGGAAUUACUUGUUCAUUUUUCAAGGCUUUUACCCACCUCUAGGACCCUCACCCCACUCAUCACCUGCCUCUGAUGCAAGGCACCACUUACAAGCUGCUGCUCUCCUCGAGAUGAAAAAGCUGGAAUCCUAAACAGUGUGCCAAGUCCUUGGUAUAGCUUUGGGAGGAAGCUGUCCUAUCGUGGAAACGACAUGAGCUGGGAAGCUCCCUUGGUCCCUUGGGUUUGCCAGGGAGGAUCAGACCAAGGGAGCUUCCAGGAAUGCAGGAGCAGGUACACCAAGGAGAGAGCCUUCGUCUUUGAAAGGCUCUGAUGGAGGUCAGCUGGGCAGAUAUGGAAUCACCCAGGAGGGGAGGAUGCUCCAACUACAGGGCAAGCCGGCCACUGUGCAAAGUUCAGAGCCAUGGCUCAGGUGGCUCAAUCUUUGGUUUUUCAGGGUCUGGAGAGCUGGCUCCGGUUUUUCCAAUUACACUCAAACACACCAGCAAGGGAAAAAUCCACUUUGGCUCACUCAUUUAUUUAUUCUCCUCUCUUGUGACUUCCCAAAGGGCUUUAUGAAUGCUGUGUGACUUUAGCUCUUUGAGCCCUUGAAGAAUGGUUUGGGAACCAACAACCUUUUCCUCUAAGCAAAUUUUAGCGUUCUUUCUGAGUUGAGCCACUGAGGACUUCCUGUUUAAGGCUGAAAAUAUUUAAGUGAGCAAGCAGCUCCAGCCAGUUUAAGGGGCACCGGAGUUGUUGCAAGGCAGAGCAUUUUAGUACACGAGCAUCAGCCUGGCACAAAGUCACGGGUUACCUCACCUGUCCUCCGAGUUAAUCUUGUUAUGUUAAUGGGUGUCCUUUCCCUACUGUGGAGACUCGAUGUUCUUGGCACCUGGACAGCGCCCUAAGGCUUGACUCAGAGGCGCACAAGGACUUGUGGAGAACUUGGUCAUUGCCAGUAGGGGCUGCAGACACUCCCUGACCAGCGAGUGGUCCCAGAUUCCCAGGAAUGUGUGCACCUGAGGACCCUGAAAGACCUGCUCCAGAAAAGCAGCCUCAGAUGAAAGGGAGGGACUCCUGGGGGUUCCUUUGGGACUCAGCAUAUACCUUACCUUCU